GGUGCUAUGGUCUAGGGGUAGGACGCCACGUUGUGGCCGUGUCAGCCCCGGUUCGAUUCCGGGUAGCGCCA
rfam:Aspergillus fumigatus Af293 chromosome 5, whole genome shotgun sequence.